CAAGCAAGCUGGACAGCCGCGCCUGCGGGGCGAAAGGCCCGUGGGUGAGGAAAGUCCGGGCUCCAUAGGGCAAGGAUAACGGAUAACAUCCGCCGGGGGCGACCCUAGGAAAAGUGCAACAGAGAUAUACCGCUGGCAGCUUUCGGCUGCCAGUAAGGGUGGAAAGGCGAGGUAAGAGCUCACCCGAUGGCGUGCCAAGCGUCCAUCGCUGUAAACUCUAUCCGGAGCAACGCCGUGGAGGGACAUAAGGCCGGCCCGGCCGUCCCGGGGAGGCGGCUUGAGCGUACCGGCAACGGUGCGUCGAGAUAGAUGGCUGUCUUAAAGGACAGAACCCGGCUUACAGGCUUACUUGCAGA
rnacentral:RNase_P_RNA from 1 species